ACAUGUAACCAAGGUGUUGAUUAUUCCUUGAAGGUCACAAGGUUGAAGGCCGUUGUGGUAAAGGUAUCCUUACCCGAAUGCCAGAGUCGAGUGAGUGGCUCAGCAGUCCCCGGGUUGAGGACACGAAAGCCGUCCGCUGCACCCCCUCGAGUGGAUGUUGACACAACACGACGGAUUGUACAUAAAGCUGAUGGUGUGUUUGGGAACCACGAUAGCAAACACCCCUGCCAUCAGGACAACACAGCAGACGACAACAAUGGCGGUCAUGGUGGACGUCUUCAGCAGCCGCUUGGCGUGGAGGGGACUGACGACACAGAAACAGCGCUCACAGGCGAUGACAGCCGACAGAAACUGAGAGGCUCGCUCUGCGCUGAAUCAAGGCGACGACGUUGACGAGGUCAGCCAGCGCCAGGAGGAAGAGACAGACGUUGAUUCUCUCUCCAAGACCCUGUCUGUAGAACACCAUGGCGCUCACCACGUUUCCGGGGAUUCCCAGGAACAGAAGAAAGAGAAUCAUGAGCCAGAAUAUGGCCUCCGUGAGGAUCUCGUAAAUCUUGAUAGGACAAAGAGAACAGAUUGAGUAGGUGAGGUACAAGAUUUCUAAGUAAACAAUAAUUAUUUUUAAUAUAACACGGAAUUUUUCAGAAAAAAUAUAUAAUUGGUGUUUUUUAUUGUUGUUGUUGUUGUUGUUGUUGUUGUUGCUUUACUUCAACAGAUAGAAUGCUCGACUCAUUCUCAGAAAGCGUUGAACUUGUGGUUGUGAGCAGCCGCACACUGAAGUCUGUCCAUGGUUGCUGAUCGGUUGAACUGAUGUCUGACACAGAAUCCAUUUCUGUCAGUGAUGUGGCAGUGGCAACUACAGCGCGUGUCUACAACUCAUUUUAAAAAUAAAAUUUUAUUGAGUAUGCACCAGACCUACUCCACCCAAGUUAUUCGGGGCUAAAUGAUCUAUGAUGGUCGUUCAAAACAUGAAUAAAUAUUGUAAACCUA